GCUUCUUUUCUAUCUUUCCUACACCAAGUAAAUUGUCUAGUAUUUUUAUUUUUAUUUCUCCAAAUAUCAAUUAGUUUACAUGAUUUUAUAAGCCCUUUUAAACUUGUUACAGGUUUAUCAAAUUUUUUGGAAGAUUUAGUUUUAUUUUUUGUAUCUAGCAGUGACCAAAUGUCAUUAAAAUCACCUCCUAGAAUGACUUGCCCGAGUCCGUAUUUAUUAAUAAACACUUUUAUUGUUUUAAAAAAACUAUUUCUUUCUCUCAAUCUGUUCGGAGCAUAGAUAUUAACUAAUGUGUAAAUAUUUUCAUCUAUUUCAAUAUUAAUCAUAAUGACUCUCCCUUCUAAGUCUUUAUGUUCAUCUAUGUAUUUGAAUUUGGUUUUAUCUUUUAUCCAUAUCGCUACCCCACGUGAAUUGCUUGUCCCGUCGCUUCUAAAAAGAUUUUCACCAAAUUCUUUUUCUAAUGUGAACUUCAUUUUAUUUGUAAAAUGGGUUUCCUGUAUGAAUAGAAUAUCAUUUUUUUGUUGAUUUGACCAGCUUACAAUUUUACUUAUUUUUUCAGGUUGUUGCAGGCCAUUGGCAUUGACCGUGCUUAUAUGUAGAUUAUUCUUCAUUUUGGAUUAAAAAAAAAAAAUUUGAUUAAGCAUUUUAUCUGGUAAGUACCAUUUUCUAAUCAUAGUUUUAAAAAUAUUUUCCAUAUAUAAUAUACAGCUGUUGCUAUACAUUUGUAUAUCAUUUUUAUACCUUGCUUUUUUA
rnacentral:lncRNA from 1 species